UACGUAGGGGGCAAGCGUUAUCCGGAUUUACUGGGUGUAAAGGGGGCGCAGACGGCUGUGUAAGUCUGAAGUGAAAACCCAAGGCUUAACCAUGGGAUUGCUUUGGAAACUAUACAGCUUGAGUACCGGAGGGGUAAGCGGAAUUCCUAGUGUAGCGGUGAAAUGCGUAGAUAUUAGGAAGAACACCGGUGGUGAAGGCGGCUUACUGGACGGUAACUGACGUUGAGGCUCGAAAGCGUGGGGAGCAAACAGGAUUAGAUACCCUGGUAGUCCCUGAGCGGGCUGGCAA
rnacentral:rRNA from 1 species